GACGAACGCUGGCGGCGUGCCUAAUACAUGCAAGUAGAACGCUGAAGGAGGAGCUUGCUUCUCCGGAUGAGUUGCGAACGGGUGAGUAACGCGUAGGUAACCUGCCUGGUAGCGGGGGAUAACUAUUGGAAACGAUUGCUAAUACCGCAUAACAGUAGAUAUUGCAUGAUAUCUGCUUGAAAGGUGCAAUUGCAUCACUACCAGAUGGACCUGCGUUGUAUUAGCUAGUUGGUGGGGUAACGGCUCACCAAGGCGACGAUACAUAGCCGACCUGAGAGGGUGAUCGGCCACACUGGGACUGAGACACGGCCCAGACUCCUACGGGAGGCAGCAGUAGGGAAUCUUCGGCAAUGGACGGAAGUCUGACCGAGCAACGCCGCGUGAGUGAAGAAGGUUUUCGGAUCGUAAAGCUCUGUUGUAAGAGAAGAACGAGUGUGAGAGUGGAAAGUUCACACUGUGACGGUAUCUUACCAGAAAGGGACGGCUAACUACGUG
rnacentral:rRNA from 1 species